ensembl:lncRNA
CUGGACUUAAGGCUCAGGGAACAUUGAUAAACAGGGGAGGCAAAAUGACACAAUAAUAUUGUUUCAAUCUCCAAACAACAUUACCACAGAGAGGAGUUCUUAUAAGUACUGCCUCCCUAGAGCAUCUUCUGCCUCUCUAGAGAAAAUUAAGGUAGAAAAUUAGAACAAGGUGCAACCAUCUACUGAGAUUAUAUUAAGGACCACAAUGCUGCUGGAAUAUCGGGUAGAAAGCAGAAAGACAGUGAACCAGGAGGCAUUCGCAAGGCAGCAUAUCAUGGGAUACCAUGCAUGACUGAACAUAAAUAUACACAGUGAACUGAGGCUCUAUAUGUGCAUAGAUAAGGAAAAAUAAAUUUAAUCGAGCUAAAAUACAGAAUGGUUGAUAUUAUUGCUACUGUAGCAAUUCACCAAUGUUGG